GGGUUGUGAGGUUAAGCGACUAAGCGUACACGGUGGAUGCCUAGGCAAUCAGAGGCGAUGAAGGACGUGCUAAUCUGCGAAAAGCGUCGGUAAGGUGAUAUGAACCGUUAUAACCGACGAUGUCCGAAUGGGGAAACCCAGUGCAAUUCGUUGCACUAUCGUUUGAUGAAUCCAUAGUCAAACGAGGCGAACCGGGGGAACUGAAACAUCUCAGUACCCCGAGGAAAAGAAAUCAACCGAGAUUCCCCUAGUAGCGGCGAGCGAACGGGGAGCAGCCCAGAGUCUUAAUCAGCAUCAGCAUCAGGAGAACGGUCUGGAAAGGCCGGCAAUAAAGGGUGAUAGCCCCGUAUCCGAAGGUGUUGGUGUUGUGAACUCGAUGAGUAGGGCGGGACACGUGUUAUCCUGUCUGAAUAUGGGGGGACCAUCCUCCAAGGCUAAAUACUCCUGAUUGACCGAUAGUGAACCAGUACCGUGAGGGAAAGGCGAAAAGAACCCCGGCGAGGGGAGUGAAAUAGAACCUGAAACCGUGUACGUACAAGCAGUGGGAGCC
rnacentral:rRNA from 1 species